CCGACGGUGAGGGGCGAAAGCUGGGGGCACGAACCGGAUUAGAUACCCGGGUAGUCCCAGCCGUAAACGAUGCUCGCUAGGUGUCUGGGAUGGUGCGACCGUUUCAGGUGCCGCAGGGAAGCCGUGAAGCGAGCCACCUGGGAAGUACGGCCGCAAGGCUGAAACUUAAAGGAAUUGGCGGGGGAGCACUACAACGGGUGGAGCCUGCAGUUUAAUUGGACUCAACGCCGGAAAACUCACCUGGGGC
rnacentral:rRNA from 1 species